UGGGGAAUUUUGGACAAUGGGCGCAAGCCUGAUCCAGCCAUGCCGCGUGCAGGAUGAAGGCCUUCGGGUUGUAAACUGCUUUUAUUUGGGAAUAAACCUCUUUACGUGUAGAGAGCUGAAGGUACCAAAUGAAUAAGCACCGGCUAACUCCGUG
rnacentral:rRNA from 1 species